AACGAACGCUGGCGGCAUGCCUAACACAUGCAAGUCGAACGAGACCGUCGGGUCUAGUGGCGCACGGGGGCGUACCGCGGGGGAACCUGCCCGUAGGUUCGGAAUAACUCCCCGAAAGGGGAGCUAAGACCGCUGAAGGUCUUCGGAGCAAAGAGUUAUCGCCGUUGGGUGGGGGCGGGUUGGCUUAGCCAGUUGGUAGGGUAAAAGCCGACCAAGGCGACGAUGCAUAGCUGGUCGGGGAGGAUGAUCCGCCAGACUGGGACUGCGACACGGCCCACUCGCGUACGCGGCGCAGGAGUGGGGAAUAUUGGACGCUGGACGCAGGCCUGAUCCCGCCAUGCCGGGUGAGUGAUGCAGCCCUUAGUGUUGUACUGCUCUCUUACCCGGGAUGUUAAUGACAGUACCGGGUGAAUAAGCACCGGCUAACUCCGUG
rnacentral:rRNA from 1 species